AUUCCAGCUCCAAUAGCGUAUAUUAAAGUUGUUGUGGUUAAAAAGCUCGUAGUUGGAUCUCUGGAUUGAGCGGCUGGCCUUGCGCGCAAGCGUUCGUGUCGGCUUCGUUUCGGUCCAUCCUCAGGGGGACUUGCGCUGGCAUUAGCGUGUCGGUGUUGGGACGCCUGUCGUUUACUGUGAACAAAUUAGAGUGUUCAAAGCAAGGUGUACUUGAAUACAUUAGCAUGGAAUAAUAAGAUAGGACUUUGGUGGUUCUUUUUGAUAUUUUGUUGGUUUGCACGCCAAAGUAAUGAUUAAUAGGAGCAGUUGGGGGUAUUCGUAUUCAAUUGUCAGAGGUGAAAUUCUUGGAUUUAUAGAAGACGAACUACUGCGAAAGCAUUUACCAAGGAUGUUUUCAUUA
rnacentral:rRNA from 1 species